rnacentral:rRNA from 1 species
AGCGGAGGAAAAGAAACCAACAGGGAUUGCCUUAGUAACGGCGAGUGAAGCGGCAAAAGCUCAAAUUUGAAAUCUGGCACCUUCGGUGUCCGAGUUGUAAUUUGAAGAAGGUAACUUUGGGAUUGGCUCUUGUCUAAGUUCCUUGGAACAGGACGUCACAGAGGGUGAGAAUCCCGUGCGAUGAGAUGACCAAUCCUAUGUAAAGUGCUUUCGAAGAGUCGAGUUGUUUGGGAAUGCAGCUCUAAGUGGGUGGUAAAUUCCAUCUAAAGCUAAAUAUUGGCGAGAGACCGAUAGCGAACAAGUACAGUGAUGGAAAGAUGAAAAGAACUUUGAAAAGAGAGUGAAAAAGUACGUGAAAUUGUUGAAAGGGAAGGGCUUGAGAUCAGACUUGGUAUUUUGCAUUCCUUACCUUCGUGGUGGGGUUCCUUGCAGUUUACUGGGCCAGCAUCGGUUUGGAUGGUGGGAUAAUGACAUUGGAAUGUGGCUCUGCUUCGGUAGAGUGUUAUAGCCAGUGUUGAUACCGCCUGUCUAGACCGAGGACUGCGUCGUCUGAC